CCACAACGCCACAGACUGAAAGAAGUGAAGGAUGAUCUAAAAGAUUUCCCUUUUCAGCAGAACCAGAAACCCCAGCAAGGCUGCAUCACCAUAAUCUCCUGAGAGCCGUGCAUACAUCGAAACUAUCAAAGAAACCCUGAAAAUGGGUAAUGACGGAUCAGCGGACAGGCAGCGUCAUUUGGAGUGGCAAAGAAAUGAAGAAGAAAAGAAAAGACUUGAAGAAGAAAAGAGACGAAUGGCAGCAGAAAAUGAAUUACAACAAAUUAAAAACGAGAAAGCAUUGAAAGAAAAAAACGAAAAGGAGAGAGAGGAGGAGAAAAGAAAAGUGAUAGAUCAGCAGAGAGAAAUAGAAAGAAAGGAAAAACAGAGGCUCCAGAACAAGUAGAUCAUCCAGAUUGAAUGUUGAAUUAUGUUCGGUAUAUAAGUUGUGAAUCAGAUCCGUCUACCGGCACAGCUGUCAAAUUAAAAUGUAAAAACAUAAUAAACAUUCAUUUAAAAAAUCAUGCAAGUGUCAUGUAGUGGUUCCAAUGACUAACACCAUGGAGGAAGGAUGGACUUCUGUAGUUACCUGCAGACAUGAUGAAAAGGGUUGGCUCUUUGUGAGCUCCUGUGAGCAGUUACCUAGCACUAGCUCAAGUAAAAUAAUUUAUGGUUUUCUUCAUUUUUCUUCAUUUAAUUAAGAAGGGAAAAGGGAGGUCAAGUUAG